rnacentral:rRNA from 1 species
UACGGAGGGUGCAAGCGUUAUCCGGAUUCACUGGGUUUAAAGGGUGCGUAGGCGGCCAGCUAAGUCCGCUGUGAAAUCUCGAGGCUCAACUUCGAGCUGUCGGUGGAAACUGUCUGGCUAGAGUCCGGAAGAGGAGAAUGGAAUUCCUGGUGUAGCGGUGAAAUGCGUAGAUAUCGGGAGGAACACCUGAGGCGAAGGCGGGCUACUGGGCCGAUACUGACGCUGAUGCGCGAAAGCCAGGGGAGCAAACGGG